UGUGUGUGUUGUCAAAGUCUCUUCAUGCAACCCCAUUGACCUCCAACUCGUGAUCCUCUUACCACAGAUUUCUGGGUGCUGGUGUGAUGCUAUGUGUCGUGAAAUCCAGCCGAUAGGAGAUCCUUCACACAGUCUCUGUCUUUUCCGCCUCUCCCCUCCCAGUCGCUGUCUCCAGGUGUGCUCUAGCUUCUGUUCCCACCCACCUCUGUGUGAGGCAAGUCGAACCGCGUCAGCAGACAAGAACUGGGAAGGAUGAGCAUUGUCUGGGAAAGCACACUGUCGUCACCUGCCUCCCCCAUCCCGGUCCCCACCACUCUCUGACUGAUGCCAUCGCCUAGAUGAUAAAGCGCCCGUCACUCAAGCACAGAAGUCGAAAUUCAUAGUUCAUUUCUUUACUUAUGUAAGAUCAUUCACUGACAAAAGAACUCAAAUGGAAAGGCUUUGGGCAUAUGCAGAAACGGGGAGAAAAAAAUAAUCUCUCCGAGUCAGAAGCCUCGGGGGAGCAUAGCAAGACUUAUCAAAGUUACAGUGCUCCAUUUGGAA
rnacentral:lncRNA from 1 species